CUUCAGCCUUCUGCCACUCUCCAGCGGUUAGUGACGUCAUUGCCAAGUCCCACAGUGCUCUGCAGUGCUCUGCGGUGCCUAGAGGAAGAAAGUGGAACAGCCCUCCCUACAUAUGAUCACCCCUUCCCAGCGUUUCUUCUUUAAUCGCACGCCUUUGAAACUGGCCAGAUUUAAGUGACCAUCUACCCACACUUCAUAAAUCCCUUUUGCACUGAACAAGUCACUUCAGUCACCCACGUAGGCUCUGAGAGAAAAGGGAUCGCUGUGGAGAAGCCAUGGCAGUCAUCACACUCCAAAUACCUUUUACCCAAAUUUCAUUCUAAUUAUUAUUUAUUAGGGGUGGCAGGGCGGCAUGGCGUAUCUAUAGCGAGGGGUGUGUGUACAGAUGGAUCUAGAACAGCCUCUCGCCCUAAAAGGAUACAGUCUGCAAAGGGAGAAAACACAAAGACCUCACAAACGAAUCAAUGAAUCGCCGCCGGCCAUGAUAAAGAAUCUCCGAGGACACAGUUAUCCAGCAAUGACGGACUUAGAACACAAGAGGAAUUGACAGGGAUCUCAGAGGACAAACGGAGUCUCAACAGACCUGAAGGAAACAGUUCCAGGUGGAUGGAUGGUGUGACAGGAGCCCGGUCUUCGCGGAGUCUGGGAACUGGGAAAUAGUGGGCCGUAAGCUGGAGAUGUGGAUUGAGGCCAGGCUGGGGAAGGAAACUAAGGCGCUUGGACUUCAUCCUAGUGGAAGAAUUGCAGUCCAGUGACUAAGCAGCUAUGGCAGAAUGUGUGUAUUUUGGGACAUGUUCCUACAUCCCGACAGCAAGGGAAGAGGAAUCCAGGUCAUUUGUUGAAUAUUUUAAACUUCCAGAAAAUGACUUUUUGAUAAAUCACCCAAAUACCUCAAAUAGAUAUUUUUUAAAGGCAAA